rnacentral:rRNA from 1 species
GACGAACGCUGGCGGCGUGCUUAACACAUGCAAGUCGAACGGAAAGGCCCUGCUUUUGUGGGGUUCUCGAGUGGCGAACGGGUGAGUAACACGUGAGUAACCUGCCCUUGACUUUGGGAUAACUUCAGGAAACUGGGGCUAAUACCGGAUAGGAGCUCCUGCUGCAUUGUGGGGGUGGGAAAGUUUCGGCGGUUGGGGAUGGACUCGCGGCUUAUCAGCUUGUUGGUGGGGUAGUGGCUUACCAAGGCUUUGACGGGUAGCCGGCCUGAGAGGGUGACCGGCCACAUUGGGACUGAGAUACGGCCCAGACUCCUACGGGAGGCAGCAGUGGGGAAUAUUGCACAAUGGGCGGAAGCCUGAUGCAGCAACGCCGCGUGCGGGAUGACGGCCUUCGGGUUGUAAACCGCUUUCGCCUGUGACGAAGCGUGAGUGACGGUAAUGGGUAAAGAAGCACCGGCUAACUACGUG